AACUCCUCUCUCUCUCUCUCUCUCUCUCUCCUUUCUUUAACCUCUCUCUCUCUCCUUUCUUUAAUCUCUCUCUCUCUCUCUCUCUCCUUUCUUUAACCUCUCUCUCUCUCCUUUCUUUAACCUCUCUCUCUCUCUCUCCUUUCUUUAACCUCUCUCUCUCUCCUUUCUUUAACCUCUCUCUCUCUCUCCUUUCUUUAACCUCUCUCUCUCUCUCCUUUCUUUAACCUCUCUCUCGCUCUCUCUCCUUUCUUUAACCUCUCUCUCUCUCUCCUUUCUUUAACCUCUCUCUCUCUCCUUUCUUUAACCUCUCUCUCUCUCUCCUUUCUUUAACCUCUCUCUCUCUCUCCUUUCUUUAACCUCUCUCUCUCCUUUCUUGAACCUCUCGCUCUCUCUCCUUUCUUUAACCUCUCUCUCUCUCUCCUUUCUUUAACCUCUAUCUCUCUCUCUCUCUCUCUCUCUCUCUCUCUCUCUCCUUUCUUUAACCUCUCUCUCUCCUUUCUUGAACCUCUCUCUCUCUCUCUCCUUUCUUGAACCUCUCUCUCUCUCUCCUUUAUUUAAUCUCUCGCUCUCUCUCCUUUCUUUAACCUCUCUCUCCUUUCUUUAACCUCUCUCUCUCUCAUUUAUUUAAUCUCUCUCUCUCUCCUUUCUUUAACCUCUCUCUCUCCUUUCUUUAACCUCUCUCUCUCUCUCUCUCUCUCUCCUUUCGUUAACCUCUCUCUUCCCCUCUCUCUCUCUCUCCUUUCUUUAACCUCUCCCUCUCCUUUAUUUAACCUCUCUCUCUCUCUCUCUCUCUCCUUUCUUUAACCUCUCUCUCUCUCUCCUCUCUUUAACCUCUCCCUCUCUCUCUCCUUUCUUUAACCUCUCUCUUCCACUCUCUCUCUCUCUCUCUCUCUCUCUCUCUCUCUCUCUCUCUCUCUCUCUCCUCUGCCAAAGGAGACAGAGUGAUCAUCCCUCAGACCGACCCAUUAAACUGGGUCUUGAUUGAAAUUCAGCAUCUUGCUUUUAAUCUCCAAAGUGAUGCUGCGGCCAUGCAUCAUUAUCGGGAAUCUAAACGCAACAGCCUCCCAUCCCUCUCUCUCUCUCUCUCUCUAUCCCAUCCAUUCUCAGUGACAAGUAAUCAUACACCUUGACUUAGUUGAUAUUUUGUUGUGUUACAGCCUGAAUUCAACAUGGAUUAAAUAAAAUAAAAACUUAUUGUGACAAAGUGAAAACAUGUUUUUAAAACAUUUUGAAAAUGUAAUCUCAUUUACAUAAGUGAACAUUUACAUAACUAUUCACACUCCUGAGUCAAUACUUUGUAGAAGCACCUCUAGUGGUUAGAGCAUUGGGCCUGUAACCGAAAGGUUGCUGGAUCGAAUCCCCGAGCUGACAAGGUAAAAAUCUGUCAUUCUGCCUCUGAGCAAGGCAGUUAACCCACAGUUCCCCAGGCGCCGUGGAUGUUGAUUAUGGCAGUCCCCCGCACCUCUCUGAUUCAGAGGGGUUGGGUUAAAUGCGGAAGACACAUUUCAGUUGAAUUUAUUCAGUUGUACAACUGACUAGGUAUCCCCCUUUCCCUUUCCUUUUGCAGUGAUUACAGCUGUGAGUCUUUCUGGGAAGACUCGAAAACCUUUCCACACCUGGAUUGUGCAACAGUUGCCCAUUAUUAUUUUCAAAAUUCUUCAAGCGGUGUCAAUUUGGUUGUUGAUCAUUGCUACCUCUUUAGGUAUCCCAAAAAC
ensembl:lncRNA